UACGGGGGGGGCAAGCGUUGUUCGGAAUUACUGGGCGUAAAGGGCGCGUAGGCGGCCAUCUAAGUCAGACGUGAAAUCCCUCGGCUCAACCGAGGAACUGCGUCUGAUACUGGAAGGCUUGAAUCCGGGAGAGGGAUGUGGAAUUCCAGGUGUAGCGGUGAAAUGCGUAGAUAUCUGGAGGAAUACCGGUGGCGAAGGCGGCAUCCUGGACCGACAUUGACGCGUGAACGG
rnacentral:rRNA from 1 species